rnacentral:rRNA from 1 species
GACGAACGCUGGCGGCGUGCCUAAUACAUGCAAGUAGAACGCACAGGAUGCACCGUAGUUUACUACACCGUAUUCUGUGAGUUGCGAACGGGUGAGUAACGCGUAGGUAACCUGCCUGGUAGCGGGGGAUAACUAUUGGAAACGAUAGCUAAUACCGCAUAAGAACAUUUACUGCAUGGUAGAUGUUUAAAAGGUGCAAAUGCAUCACUACCAGAUGGACCUGCGUUGUAUUAGCUAGUAGGUGAGGUAACGGCUCACCUAGGCGACGAUACAUAGCCGACCUGAGAGGGUGAUCGGCCACACUGGGACUGAGACACGGCCCAGACUCCUACGGGAGGCAGCAGUAGGGAAUCUUCGGCAAUGGGGGGAACCCUGACCGAGCAACGCCGCGUGAGUGAAGAAGGUUUUCGGAUCGUAAAGCUCUGUUGUUAAGGAAGAACGAGUGUGAGAAUGGAAAGUUCAUACUGUGACGGUACUUAACCAGAAAGGGACGGCCAACUACGUGCCAGCAGCCGCGGUAAUACGUAGGUCCCGAGCGUUGUCCGGAUUUAUUGGGCGUAAAGCGAGCGCAGGCGGUUAGAUAAGUCUGAAGUUAAAGGCAGUGGCUCAACCAUUGUAGGCUUUGGAAACUGUUUAACUUGAGUGCAGAAGGGGAGAGUGGAAUUCCAUGUGUAGCGGUGAAAUGCGUAGAUAUAUGGAGGAACACCGGUGGCGAAAGCGGCUCUCUGGUCUGUAACUGACGCUGAGGCUCGAAAGCGUGGGGAGCGAACAGG